UACGUAGGGUGCAAGCGUUAAUCGGAAUUACUGGGCGUAAAGCGUGCGCAGGCGGUGUUGUAAGUCUGUCGUGAAAGCCCCGGGCUCAACCUGGGAAUUGCGAUGGAGACUGCAAGGCUUGAAUCUGGCAGAGGGGGGUAGAAUUCCACGUGUAGCAGUGAAAUGCGUAGAGAUGUGGAGGAACACCGAUGGCGAAGGCAGCCCCCUGGGUCAAGAUUGACGCUCAUGCACGAAAGCGUGGGGAGCAAACAGG
rnacentral:rRNA from 1 species